rnacentral:rRNA from 1 species
UACGUAGGGGGCAAGCGUUGUCCGGAAUCAUUGGGCGUAAAGAGCGUGUAGGCGGCCUGGUAAGUCCGCUGUGAAAGUCCAGGGCUCAACCCUGGAAUGCCGGUGGAAACUGUCAGGCUCGAGUCCGGAAGAGGCGAGUGGAAUUCCUGGUGUAGCGGUGAAAUGCGCAGAUAAUCAGGAGGAACACCGGUGGCGAAGGCGCCACUCUGGGCCGAAACUGACGCUGAGGAGCGAAAGCGUGGGUAGCAAACAGG